CCUCGUCUCUACUAAAAAUUAUCCGGGCAUGGUGGCACAUGCUUGUAAUCCCAGCUACUCAGAAAGGCUGAGGCAGGAGAAUCACUUGAACCCAGGAGGCAGAGGUUGUGGUGAGCCGAGAUGGAGCCAUUGCAUUCCAGCCUGAGCAACAAGAGUGAAAAAAAAAAAGAAAAAAGCUAAAUUAUGUGUCUCAAAAAAAAAAAAAAAAAAAAGAAAAGAGCUAAAUUAUGUGGUGCUUUGGAAGCUGGGACCACAUGGACUCUUAAGAGGGAUGGCACCUUCUAAGAGGUUCCAAGGGCAGAAACAAGGGGCAGUUCCACUGGGUUUCAGACACAGAGAUCCCAGCCUGGAUUGUCGUGGAGGAUGAAGCUGCUCCAUCUUGGAUGCUGAUCCGCCAUGUUGUCCUCUGGUUAACCCCUGUUCUGGAAUGCCUCCUCUAAGAUUGCCACUUUAUCUACUGUGACCUUAAAUCCUGCUCUUAGGUAGAUUCACAUAGCAUUCUGUGCCUUUCCCUGAGGGGUUGACUUCAGUGGUGCCACACAUUUCUACUGAGGCAUGUGUACCUUUCGCAUCAGGUAUAUCAGCCCUGGGACUCGGGGAUAACUGACUGACAGCUGCCUGGCUUCUGUUUCUAAGUUGCUAUUAAAUGUUUCUUUCUGAGAAACUGGA
rnacentral:lncRNA from 1 species